rnacentral:tRNA from 1 species
GCCGCCAUGCGCAGAAUGGUAAUGCACCUGGUUUGAGCCCAGGGUCCUUCGGACACCCAGGUUCGAUUCCUGGUGGCGGCG